rnacentral:rRNA from 2 species
UACGUAGGGGGCGAGCGUUGUCCGGAAUUACUGGGCGUAAAGAGCGUGUAGGCGGGCAUUUAAGUCAGGUGUGAAAGACCGGGGCUCAACUCCGGGAUUGCAUUUGAAACUGGAUAUCUUGAGGGCAGGAGAGGAAAGCGGAAUUCCUGGUGUAGCGGUGAAAUGCGUAGAUAUCAGGAGGAACACCGGUGGCGAAGGCGGCUUUCUGGACUGUCCCUGACGCUGAGACGCGAAAGCGUGGGGAGCAAACAGG